UCGUAUAGUUUCUGUACUGGGCACAAGGGACACGUACAGUAUUAGAAACAGCUACAUGUGCUUUUUCUGAUGCAAUUGACACAGCACCAAAUCCAUUUGAAGCCCAGUCUACGUGACUUAAUAUUCUCUCACUCAGGCCUCUUGUCUUUCCUUCCUGUUCACUCACUUUACAGUACAGUAGUACUACUGUCAAUACUGAUUCUGCUCGGAAGUUUUGCCGUUUGAUUUGUACGACGUUGUGUUAUUUAGACCCAAGUUUGUAAAGAAACAUUUCUUGUCUUGAUAAAAGAUCAUCAAUUACUGAUAAAUUCCUACCCUGAAGAAGUUUAGCUCUUCCUUUCCACGGCAGUUCAGUGAAACCCCCUCUCACUGCUCCCCCUCUGUGAUCUCUGCUGGCCUCUGACUCUUAAACCCUGUGCUCAUGCAGACCUGCUAUCACAGUCACAUAUCUUUCCUGGCGCCAUGCCCUUGGCCUUCUGUCCUUUAGAAUCUGGACAGAACUUUCUUCCAAGCCAUUUGAAACUGGACGGUAUGGGGCAGAUGUAAUAUGUCUUAUUCCGUUCAUUUUCAGGAAUGACUGAAACGGUUCCACAACAAACUGUGGUCCAUUGUCACUGACCAGGUGUUCUGGAACACCAGCCCUGAGAAGAGGCUUCUCAACACAUCAGUGUGCCAGGCUGUAAUGGAGGCUUUGGGGCACUUUGUAACCGCAUCCACUACUAUCAAGAAAUUCGUGCCCAUGAACGACCUGACAAAAUCCAGGUGAAUCCUCUGCCAGGACAAUGCAGGUCAUCUCCAGGGAUGGAGAGGUGCUGCCCUUGGCACUUGGAUGUGUUGGCAUCCUGAACGGUGCACCGGGCCAGCUGACAAAGCUUUUGGCCAUGUAUGUAGCCCCUCCAACACUUCAGCACAUAAGGCAAACCCCGUCACAGGCAAAUUCAUCCCAGUGUGUAAGAAUGGGGGAACUGGAAUUUCUGCUGCACAUUCCAGCCAUCUCGUGUGGCUACGUCGACCUGAGAUAGUGUGGGGUCUUUUCUGGUUUCCUUUUGGGUCAUCUUGGCCAUAAUAGAGAGACUUUCGAUUUGUGUUAGGGAGAAUAUUUACAUCAAGACGAGUGUCCUCUUUUGUUAAUUUUUCAAGUAUUUCCUUUUCCAAGGGUAAACAGGGCAAUCCAUCAGCAUCCCCAUGAUUAGGUAUUCUCUUGAAUUUGAUCUUGUACUUGUAUCCUCCCAUCUCGGCAUUUGUGCGGUUGCUGUUAAUGGACACCCUUCUGUGGACUGAAAAUGGACGCCAGUAGUUGAUAAUCAGUAAUGAGGGUACAUUCUCUCCCAUACAGUGUUUUACACCUCAAACCAUAUUCAAAGCCUCUUUGACAAUGUGUGUAUAAUUUUUCUCUGCAGUGGUUAGGGAAUGUGAUGCAAAGCCAAUGGGGCAAUCACAUUCAUCACUCCUAACAUGUGACAUGAUGGCACCUGUCCCAUAAGGUGAGGCAUUCCGGCAAAAUUCACUGGAUGAUGUGAAUCGUGAUGUGUGGGUACAGUGUCUGACGCCCCCAUUUCCUUUGCCUUUUGGAAAGCCACCUCACACAAGCUUUGUCCAUGGCCAUUUCUUCCCGAUCUGUAAUAUGUAAUGAGUUCAAGGUUUGGCAGGAACCUGUUACAGUAAUUGAUAAAUUACUAAAAAGGAUCACAAAUGUGACAUGUCCUUUGGUUAUCCACCCCUGCUUGAAAGUUCUCGGCACAUUUGUGUAACAUUUGUGUGUCAAUGGUGUGAUCGCAGUAGGUGAUGCUUAGUUUAAAGAAAUGGCAUUUGCUGUGUUGUACUCUGAGCCCAUAAUCUUAUAAUAUUUUAGAAGUUUUGUUCUUUUGGAGAUGUUGUUAAUGCGUUUUUAGGGUUAGCACAUGUAGCAAAUAAUUUCAGCAACUGACUUCAGCUACCAGUCUUCAGAUUUGAAUAUGAACUGUGGAUUAAGGCUAUGUCCACACUAGACCGGAUAAUUUUGAAAAAGCAGGUUUGCGUAAAAACAAUAGACAUCCACACCAGGUGUUUUUGAAAAUACUUCUGUCCACAUUAAAACAGGCAUUUGUGUGCAUCUCCACCUACUGGGCAUGUGCAGGACACGUCUACAGAAAACAAGCGACAUGUUUAGUGUCAAAUCUCACCGUGAAAGACUCGGUGUGCAUUUGUUCAGUUACAGUUAAAAGGAAAUUGCCAAAUGACGGACAGCUGUUGGCUCUCGUGGAGGACUUAAAACUAAAAAAACAAAUACUGAAACGUAUGGAGGCAACCGACAGGGAGUUCACAGACAGUAUGAGCUGGCUGACGACGAACAUUGAAAAACUGACUAACACUGUUGCAGAGGGAUUUGCAUUGAUGAGGAAUAUGAUGGCUCCCCCCAGUACUUUUCACUGCCACAAUACCAGCCUCACAGCCACUACAAUAGCUGCACAUACAGACACACAGACCCCGGGUGGUCCCACCAACAUCUUCCCCACUCCCACAGAGGGGUCACCCUGGGAACAGUUCCUACAGCCAUAGUCUCUUCAUCAUUGAAAAGGACAACUAAAUGCAGUAAGGCUUGUUACAGGGCAAAAGUGAAUUUUUCUGUAUUUAACAUGUGCAAUAAAAUGAGUUACUGGACAAAAGUGAUUUUAUUUUUACCUGAGUAAAAUUGAAACUUACAAUUUUACUUUUUUGGCCUUAACAUUUUCACGUCUAUGCCAAACAUAAGCUAUUUAAAAAUGACAUUUUGGAAGUAGUGAUAAUUGCAUCUAUUGAAUGUUUACACAAGCAAUACAUUAAUAAAGCACCUUGUUAAAUGUAUAAAGCAUGUCUGCAUCAGUAUUAUCUUGUAUUUCCAUACAAUGUUACAUUAGGCUGUUACACAUCUAUUGUCAGAGAAGUACUUGCAUAAAUAGGUAAACCACCUUCAUACGAGCAAGGACAGAAAACAGGACAAAGUGAGUAUACUUCUUUAUUCAGUAAGUUAUGGGUCAAAGUAUUUGGUGAGUACAUUUCUAACUCUUCUGGAUUCUGUCCCGUUGCCGUCUGUCUGAAAUUGUUAGGUUGUGUGGGGGGGUUGAAAUUCUCUGUCAUACUGCAAAGCUGCAGUAACAUUCUGCUCAGGGACAGUCUCCUGAAGCCACCCGUCGUCGUCGUUGUGGUUUUGGAGGUUGCAUUCAAGAAAACAAUGAAAUGCUGCGCUGCCACCACCAUCUGUUCCGGUACAUCAUGACAGCAUUUUUAAAAAGCUUCGGUUACCCCAUACAAACUACACUGUUCAAUCAGCGUUUUCAGAUUUAAACACUCUGGAGAGCAUUUUAGAAAAGCUCCAUUUUCGGGGGAGGAAAAGACCGUUUCAGUGUGGACAGAGGGUCAAAAUGAAAAGCUUUGGUUACCGAUUUAUCUGGUCUAGUGUGGACGUAGCCUAAGUCUAAAAUACAGGUGUGAACAACAGGUUUCUAUGACCGUGAACCACAGUUAAUUGGAAAACCAGACAAUGCUGAUUUAAUUCGUUAUUGGGAUGGCUAUCAUCUGGGUGUGAAGAGGGAGGUGUGAAGAUGGUGUGUGGUUCAAAGGAAGCAUAGUGGAUGCAUUGUAAAUAUGGAAUUGUCCUUUGAACUGUAGCAUAUAAAAUGCCAUUUUGUAUUGGGUCAGGCAGCUCUUCUUUCUCUCUCUCUCUCUCUCUCUCCCUCUCUCCUCUCUCUCUCCUCUCUCCUCUCUCUCUCAUGACUCCAAAAGGCUGUCAGCUUACUUGUGAGUGUGUAAAUCAAAUAAAAAGACUACUUUUCACAUCUACCAAUUCUGUCUUUCCAGUGACUUUGUUCACGUGACAAAAUCUGGGGGCUCGACUUGGAUAACUUUGCAAUUCCCAUUGUGUGGCCAGUGACCUCAGCAGUCUAAUGUGGAGAUACAGUACUUCAGAGAGAGGUUUUACCCAGAUGCAUCUGUCAAGAUGGCACCUUCUAAGGUUGAGAACCCUGAAGACCCUGAUUAUGACCAUUGACAGAGCGGGAGGUCAAGUGUAAUUACAAAGAGAUGAACGCCAGCCGGCCAUGCCAGACCCGACCACAGACGAUGGAAACAGACCCACAGCAAACACUGGGAGUGUGACAGAAACCUGUGAAUGCCAUGCUAAAGUGUAAUGGUGACGGUACUCUGUAAUGAAGACUGGUUGCUGAAGGUAGAUGAUUAGUUGGAAAACAGAAGAGAUUUGGGGAAAAGAGGUUUAAGUUACAGCAGGGACAGCAUGUUCCACAACUUCGAUGGAAUACACUGCAGCCUGAGAAAGAUUACCUGCGGUAUCUGAAGGCAGCCCCCCAGCCUGAAUGGGGAAUAGAUACGAUUGAGCUGGGUCCUUUCAGCGGUUGGGUCAGCGAUUGACUGGACAGUUCAGAAGGGGGUGCCACUGGGGAGAGGUCCUCGCAGUCAUUCAAAUAGAGUCCACCCGACCCCUUCCUGUACAUCGAUGAGAGGGCCUGGGGGUCUGAUGCAAUUACCUUGCUGGUGCCCCUGGAAAGACAGACCAGAGAAUUAAAGGGUGAAGACAAGGGAUGUGAUUUCCCCCAGCAGGGGAAAAGCCAACAGGCAUACAAGUGAAGCUGCCUUUUUAAGCAGUGUUAUUCAAAUUUCUGGAGCAAUCUCUCUGCUUAGCAUUUUGUAGGUAGCAAUUAGGGAUGAUAGGGUAGAUGUAGAUGCACUUAAUUGGUGGGGGGGGGGGAAUUCUGCAGUCCUAUUUAAGUAGAUCCUCCUUAAGGUUGGCCUUUCCUGGUACAAAUUUAUUUUGUCCAGGAGGAUAAAGACGAGGAACUGUCAAGAGCAUUAUUUUGGGAUUAGCGCACGUAGCCAAUAACUUCAGCAACUAGUCUUCAGAUUCGAAUAUGAAAUAUGGAUUAAAUCUAAAAUGCAGCUCUUAAAAAUGGGUUCCUAAGACCGUGAACCACAGUUAAUUGGGAGACCAGGCGAUGCUGAUUAAAUUUGUUAUUUGGGUAUCUAUCGUGUGGGUGUGAGAGAGAAAGAGAGAGAGACAUGAGGGUGGUGUGCAGUCAGAGGAAGGAUUAUAAAUAUGGAAUUCUCCUUUGAUCUUCAGCUUAUAAAGUGUGGUGUCGUGUUGGGUCAGGCAGACCUUUUUUCUUAUUCUCUUUGUCUUUCUCUCCCUUUCUCUAUUUCUCUUUCUCCCUUUCUUUCUCUCUUUCCCUUUCUUUUUCUCUCUCUCUCCCUCUACCCACUCCUCUCUCUACCCAACCCUCCCUCUCCCCCUCUCUCUCCCUCCUUCCCCCCUCUCUCUUUCUCUUUCUAUUUCUCUUUCUCCCUUUCUCUCUCCCUCUCCCCCUCCCCUCCCUCUCUCACCCCUCCCUCUCUCCCCUUCCUCUCUCCCUUUCUCUCCCCUUCUCUCCCCUCUCUAUUUCUCUUUCUCCCUUUCUCUCUUCCCCCCUCUCCCCCUUCUCUCUCUCCCUCUCUGUCUUUCUUCCCCUCUUUCUCCUUCUAUCUCUUUCUCUUUCUCAUGCCAUGGCUUCAUCUAAUACCUUUCUUAAUUCACUUUCAAUUGAUUCUAUUGCAGAGGACAUGGCAUGCAAAUAGUGGAUGGAUCUCCAACCAAGUUGUAGCUGUCUCAGACAAUCACAUCCCACAAUGCUGGCCCUCCUGUUUUUACCCCAUUCAAGCCCAGUGUGGCUUGUUGGUUGUUGUAUGUCACUGUUAAGAAUGUCAUUCCCACAGGAUUUAUCUUUUAUCCAGUGUAAGUUCUUAGAUAAAUAUCUGCAGGCUUUAGUUCAGUAUCUUUGAAAUACCUUUCAAGCUCAUUUUGUGGAAUGACUGAAACAGCUGAGCAAUUGUCCAAUUCACUCUCAUCAUUAUCAAUAACAGCGUGCUCUGUUUGAAACUGCAACUUGACUUUUUAUCUUUUUCUCUUCCCUGCACAGUCCAUUUAUUUUUCUCUGUUGAGAUGCUCUUUGUAUGUGUCCUACUUUGUUGCAUUUUCUGCAAGUUUCGUCUUUAAAUCUGCAUUGGUCUGGUGUAUGUGAGCCUCUGCCACAGUAACGUAAUUUGUUCAGCCAGGCCAGUAUCUGUUUAGACAUUGCUAUUUCGUUCACACUCACUUUAAUUCCUGACUGCAAUUCAAUUGUGACUCUGGCUGUCAUUUCCAUUGAUACAGUAAUUUCAACAGCUCUUUUAAAUGUGAGCUGUGCUUCAAGUUGAAGCUAUUUUUGAAUGCUUUCUUGCAAGAUUCCACAAACCAUAUAAUCUUAAUGCAUCAUUAAGCCCAUUACUGAACUAACAAUGCUCAGACAAUCUCUUCAAUUCAGCCAAGAGUCUGAAAUUGACUCCCCUUCCUUAUGAUUCUGCUUAUGAAAUCUAAAGGGUUGUGCAGUCAACAAUGGUUUCAGUUCCAAAUGUUUGCACAUUAUGUUCACGAUAUCAGCAAAGCUCAUUUUGGCUUGUUUGGUUGCAACAGUCAAACUUCUAAGCAAACUGUAUGCUCUUCCACCAAUUGCACUCAGCAAAGCUGGCACUUGUUUCUCAUUGACCAUUCCAGUUGCUUUAAAAUACAGCUCAGUCCACUCAGUAUACAUCAUCCAGUUAUUGUUUGUGCAAUCAAACACAUCUAUCUGUCUGAUAUAGCCAGCCAUUUCUGCUUUAUUUGAUUUAUUAUUGUUAUUACCCUGUACUCACUGUUUAUGAAUCUGUGAAUUUCAUCCAUUUUCUGCCUUCUUAAAAAAAAAACUUGACCGUCUUUCUCUCUCCCUUCAGAAGUAAAAAAUGAGCUGUGCAUUUUUAAAACUUGAAUGUCUCACUGAGCUUCAACAGGUUAGUAGUCUUCUCAGGUUUGUUUGAAAGCUUCCUUGUCGCCACUAUUAUGGUUUGUAAUCCGGAAACUAAUCAAAAGUAAAAAAAAACA